UAAUAUUAACAGUUUAAGAUUAAUGGGAUAUACCAGGUGGUGAUAUUUUAGGCUUAUAAUCCAUGAUUCAAGGAGGCUGAGGCUGAUUUCCAGAGCUCAAGAAUCCUGAACUGCAGUGGACUAAAGAAAAGUCAAAAGAAGAGGUAUGACAGCCACACAGGUGUUGGAAAAGUCUAAGUACUACACAAGAUUUGCCCAAACAGUUCCUACAAAACCAACUCCUCCAGGAAACCAUCUCUAAUUUAUAGAGGAAUGAUGUCAGGAACCUCUGUCAGGACAAGAAGAUAGUGUCAUAGAUAUAAAGCUUGAGGGAGAAUGUACCAUUACGAUC